rnacentral:rRNA from 1 species
UAACGCAUUAAGCACUCCGCCUGGGGAAUACGGUCGCAAGACUGAAACUCAAAGGAAUUGACGGGGGCCCGCACAAGCGGUGGAACAUGUGGUUUAAUUUCGAAGCAACGCGAAGAAACCUUUACCAGGUCUUGACAUUCCUCUGACAAUCCUAGAGAUAGGACGUCCCCUUCGGGGGCAGAAUGACAGGUGGUGCAUGGUUGUCGUCAGCUCGUGUCGUGAGAUGUUGGGUUAAGUCCCGCAACGAGCGCAACCCUUGAUCUUAGUUGCCAGCAUUCAGUUGGGCACUCUAAGGUGACUGCCGGUGACAAACCGGAGGAAAGUGGGGAUGACGUCAAAUCAUCAUGCCCCUUAUGACCUGGGCUACACACGUGCUACAAUGGACAGAACAAAGGGC